rnacentral:lncRNA from 1 species
GAAAAAUGUGACGAAAAAUUUUCAACUUGGCUAUCAGGUGUAAAAAUGAUACAAGUGUUCGGUAAACAGGAAGUUGUCGAGUGAUGAAUCUGAAAACGCAUCACACAGUAUAGCUGACUUAUAUCAAAGCCUGAAACCAAAUUUCAGAAAUCCUGGUAGUGUAGUUCCUGAGAAAAAUGUGACGAAAAAUAUUCAUGGGACGGACGGACUGA